UACGUAGGGUGCGAGCGUUAAUCGGAAUUACUGGGCGUAAAGCGUGCGCAGGCGGUUUUGUAAGUCUGACGUGAAAUCCCCGGGCUUAACCUGGGAAUUGCGUUGGAGACUGCAAGGCUGGAGUCUGGCAGAGGGGGGUAGAAUUCCACGUGUAGCAGUGAAAUGCGUAGAGAUGUGGAGGAACACCGAUGGCGACGGCAGCCCCCUGGGUCAAGACUGACGCUCAUGCACGAAAGCGUGGGGAGCAAACAGG
rnacentral:rRNA from 1 species